AAUAGUGCUAUUGAGAAAGAAAAUUAUGAAAGCAACAACAAUGAUAUGGAGAUCAUUGUCUUUAUAUUUAUGUCAACUAAAAAGAAAUAAUGACAUUUGCUAAUGCCAUUGUAGAUUUUGUUGUUGUUGUUGUUGUGUAUUCCCAGUGCUCAUCUCAUGGGCCAGAAAUGGCUGUUGUUACUAGAAAUGAUGGAAGGAAAGGUAAAGCAAGUGUGCGUUUACCAUUUUAAGUAGCCUGAUGUUGCAGAUUAUAGUGUAAAAAUAUGGUAAUUCUAGUCAAAGUUUGGGGGAGAGAUUUGAGUUUGGUUUGUUUUAAAUUCAGGAAAUCAGCUCAAAUAGGCAUUGGACUUUCAUUUAGAAGCAUGUCAUUCUUGAAAUUUUCUGUCUCCCAAAAAAGCAGCAGUGUUGGGUGUUUUCAGCUCAAAUCACCCCUUUGUUCUGAUGGCAAGCAUUUCUCUGGGUGCUUAGCUGCAUCAUACACCAUGUCGGCUGUGGGGCAGCAGCCCUGAGCAAGAUGAAGUUUGUAAUCUUAAAGAGCACAGGGUCUGGUUGGGGGCUGGAGGAGGUAGAGACUGGAGUAAACAGGAGUAAACAGGCAUAGUUACUGGAGUAAACAGGCAUAGUUACUGUAGGAUUCAGAUAUGGUUAGGAUUCUAAGUGAGUACAUAAGGAGGCCCUUGACCCAGCCUGGGAGGGAGGAAGGCACUUGUGAGAGAUUAUUCUUGAACUGACUCUUGAAGGAUAAAUAAGAAUUAGCUUAAUACAGAUGAAGGAAGAGGAGGAGUGUUUGGGAAACAAUGUGUAGAAAGAGAAAGGCUUGGUGUCUCAGAGUAGGGCACAAAGCUAAAGGAGGGCAUGGGAAGAAGGUGGAAAAGGGAAGAGAUGAAUUGGCAGGUUGGCAGAAUCCAUAUCACCAAGGGGGGCCUGUGUUUCAUGAAAACAUUUGGAAACCUGUUUGCAAUAGGGUGAAAUUCAAAGCAGAGCUGGGUAUGGUGACACAUGCCUAUAAUCCCAGUGACUCUGGAGGCUGAGGCAGGAGGAUUGCAAGUUCACGGCCAGGUAUAGCAACUUAGGCCCUGUCUCGAAGUUUAAAAUAAAAAAUAAAAAGGUUUGGGUAUGUGGCUCAGAGGUUAAGUGCCUCUCAGUUCAAUCUCUGGAAUGAAAUAAAUAAAUAAAAAGGGCUAAGGAUGUUGAGUGCCCCUGAGUUUGAUCCCUAGUAAUGACCCCCCCCCCCAAAAAAAAAAAGAAGGUUGAAAGUAAUUCAUUCAAAGCUAUGUAGCAUUAUAUAGGCUAAAUAGGAUUAUAUUGGAAGCUUUGUAUUUCCAGUGGUGAUGAGGAUUAAAAUAAAGUAGAGAUAAAAAUGAUAUUUGAAUAUAUUAGAAGUGGAAAGUUAACUUCACUGGUAAUUAACUAAAUGCUGUGGGUCAAGGAGACAGAAGAGUUAAAAGACUAUAUCAGAUUUCUGUCUAGGGCAAGUAGUGAAAAGGAAACACACAGGUGAUCACAUUUUGGUGAAGGGAGAUGGAAAGACAUGCUUCCUUUCCUUAAUGAAAAAGGAGCGAUGAGAUGUGCCAUCAUCUGUGCCCACAGCUGGAUAUGGUGUGGAAGCUUUGGAGUUUGUAUUUCUUCUUGGAAUUGUUUUUGAAACUUUGUCAUCCACACCUUUAUUUUUGCUAACCUAUUAUUUUGAUAAGAAGGAAUCUAGUCCAUUCAUGUUGCUUUGAUAAAAUACCUUGUACCAGGUAUUUAAAGCAACAGCCAUUUUUUUCCCUCAUAGUUCUGUAGGCUGGGAAGUCCCAGAUCAAGGCACUAGCUGAUUCAGAAUCAGUGAAGGCCUUCAUCCUGAACCAUAGAUGGCUAUCUUUUCCUGUACUCUUGUGUAGCAGAAGAGGCAGGGCAGUUCUCUAGGGCCUCUCAUAAAGGCAUUCAUGAGGUCUCAUUUAUGAUGGCAGCCCUUGUGAUCUCAGCACCUCUUAUAGGGCUUCACUCCGACGAUCACUUUGGACAUUAGGAUGUAAAAUGUGAAUUUUGGGGGAACACAAAC
rnacentral:lncRNA from 1 species